rnacentral:tRNA from 1 species
GCAUCGGACGCCAAAAUGGCAUGGCAGCAGCCUGUAAAACUGCGGCUCUUUUCCGAGCAUGAAGGUUCGACUCCUUCCCGAUGCACCA